AAUACCUACGGGACGCAGCAGUGAGGAAUAUUGGUCAAUGGGCGGGAGCCUGAACCAGCCAAGCCGCGUGAGGGAAGAAGGUACAGCGUAUCGUAAACCUCUUUUGUCAGGGAACAAAGGCGGGGACUAGUCCCCGGACGAGGGUACCUGAAGAAAAAGCAUCGGCUAACUCCGUGCCAGCAGCCGCGGUAAUACGGAGGAUGCGAGCGUUAUCCGGAUCUAUUGGGUUUAAAGGGUGCGCAGGCGGCCUGUUAAGUCAGCGGGAAAAGUCCGGGGCUCAACCCCGGCGAGCCGUUGAAACUGGC
rnacentral:rRNA from 1 species